AUGCAUUUCACUCUGUUCGCAGCUUUGGGACGUUCUGAUCACCUUCUGGUUCAUCUUAUACCGUCCUACAGGCAGAAACUAAAAUCAGCUAAACCUGUAUCAAGGACUGUAAAAAGAUGGACUAAUGAAGCAGAGCAGGAUUUACAAUCUUGUUUUGACCUCACUGAUUGGAGUGUUUUUGAAGCUGCUGCCACCGAUCUGGAUGAACUCACAGAGACCGUAACAUCAUAUAUCAGUUUCUGUGAGGAUAUGUGUAUUCCUACAAAGACUCAACUAAUUUACAAUAAUGACAAACCAUGGUUCACUGCAAAACUCAGACAGCUCCUUCAGGCCAAAGAAGAUGCUUACGUGAAGGGGGACAAUGUCUUGUAUAAACAGGCUAAAUACACAUUGGAAAAGGAGAUCAAAGUGGCAAAGAGGAAUUAUUCUGAAAAAAUAAGGACUCAGUUCACUUCCAACGACUCCGCAUCAGUGUGGAAAAGUCUAAAGAAGAUCACCAAUUACAAGACACCACCCCCCAGCACCGUAGAGAAUCAACGACUGGCAGACGAUCUGAACGAGUUUUACUGCAGGUUUGAAAGAACACCCAUCACCUGCCCUGAAUGCUUCCCAACACAACCAUUCACACCAUUCACAACUCCUGCAACCAGCCCCAAAUGCCUCUCCAAACUACCGUUCACACCAUUAACAGCUCCUGCAACCCAUCCUGAACACCUCUCCAAUCAAGCAGUCUCACCAUUCUCACCUCCUGCAUCCCCCCUCUCCCCCACACCUGCAAUUCAGAUCAGCGAGGAUGCGGUGCGCCAGGUCUUCCGGAAGCAGAAAAGGAAAAAAGCACCAGGCCCAGAUUGUGUUACACCAGCCUGUCUGAAAUCCUGUGCUGACCAGCUGGCCCCCAUCUUCACACGGAUUUUCAACAGAUCGCUGGAGCUGUGCGAAGUCCCUUCAUGCUUCAAAUGCUUCACCAUCAUCCCCAUCCCUAAGAAACCCAAAAUUACAGGACUAAAUGACUACAGGCCUGUGGCUCUAACGUCUGUAGUCAUGAAGUCAUUUGAAAAACUGGUGCUGGCCCAUCUGAAGGACAUCACUGGGCCCUUGCUGGAUCCUCUUCAGUUUGCCUACAGAGCAAACAGGUCUGUGGACGAUUCAGUAAACAUUGGACUGCAUUAUGUUCUGCAACACCUAGACAGACCGGGGACUUAUGUGAGGAUCCUGUUUGUGGACUUCAGCUCGGCCUUCAACACGAUCAUCCCAAACCUCCUCCUGCCCAAACUAAAUCAGCUCUCCGUGCCCACCUCCAUCUGUCAGUGGACCGAAAGCUUCCUGACAGACAGGCAGCAGCUAGUGAGGCUGGGAAAAUACACAUCCAGCACCCGUACAAUCAGCACCGGAGCUCCCCAGGGCUGCGUUCUCUCCCCACUGCUCUUCUCCCUGUACACUAAUGAUUGCACAUCUAAGGACCCCUCUGUCAAGCUCCUGAAGUUUGCAGAUGACACCACACUCAUCGGCCUCAUUCAGGACGGUGAGGAGUCUGCUUACAGACAGGAGGUAAAAGAGCUGGCUGUCUGGUGCACUCUCAACAACCUGGAGCUUAACACGCUCAAAACAGUGGAGAUGAUCGUGGACUUCAGGAGAAACCCCCCUGCACUCCCCCCACUCACCAUCAUGAACAGCACUGUGACUGCAGUGGAGUCAUUCAGGUUCCUGGGCACCACUAUCUCUCAGGACCUGAAGUGGGACAUUCACAUUGACUCCAUCGUAAAAAAGGCCCAGCAGAGGUUGUACUUCCUUCGCAAGCUGAGGAAAUUUAACCUGCCACAGGAGUUUUGCACAUAA
ensembl:lncRNA